AAUUUUUAAAAACAUUUUAAGUUGAUCCUCUUGUUCUUUGAAUUAUCAGAUUAUAUAAGCACCACUAUAACAAUAAUUCCACUUUAAUUUUAUAAUUCACAUUUAAUUCACUUCACAUUGAUGAUAAUUGUUCUAAACUUCUGCUCUUUUUUUUUUUAACCUUUAAAAUUGCUUUCUGAAUCACUGACUCAAAACUAAAGGGAGCAAAUAUCAUUUUCAGGUUAAUGAUUAUUUUUAAAAUGUUAUCUUUUUAAAUUGGCCUUAGAUAAAAGCAGCUCUCAGGAUAACUUAGAGCAGUUACAAUAGAAGAAUAAUGCUUCCAUAAGAAGUCAGAUGGAACUCAGAAUUAAAGACUUGGAAUCUGAACUCUCCAAGAUGAAAACUUUGCAAGAUUCUCAUAAAGCAGAGUUGGAAAAAUAUAAGCAACUCUACCUAGUAGAAGUAGAAGUUAGAAAGUCAUUGGAAGGUAAACUAGACAACUGCUGCUGAAUUUGAAUCUGAGUCCUAUGGAUUGUCUCCUCUAGGAGCUACAGAUGGGUCAAAUCUGUCUCAGGACCUGCUUUUGAAAACAUCACAAGAAUGUGUACAGAUUUUGAAGAAAAAAAAUAUAUGAUCUGAAAGAUAAAUAGUAAAAAUUUCCCCUCUUUUCUGUUUUCAUGACAUUUUAGUUGUUUCUCAUUAAACAUGAUGAGAAAAUCUUUAUAAAAGGGAAAUACUUUUGUGUGUAUGAUGAAAAUUUAUAUGGUAUUUUAAAAAUACUACUUUUAAGUAGUAUUAAUACUACUUUUAAACAGUAGUAUCCAAGUACUUUUGGUACUAAGUAUUUUCUCUGCAGCUAACUUAAGCAAUUUAAAAACCAGCACUGUUAAGUUUUCCAUAUUCAAAUUGAAAGUGUUAGUCACUCAGUCGUGUCUGACUCUGCGACCAAUGGACUGCAGCCCACCAGCCUCCUCUGUCCUCCACUAUCUUGUGGGGUUAGCUCAAGUUCAUGCCCAUUGAGUUGGUGAUGCUAUCCAAUCCUCUCGUCCUCUGUUGUCCCCUUUCUCCUCCUGCCUUCCAUCUUUCCCAGCAUAAGAGUCUUUUCUGAUGAGUCAGCUCUUCACAUCAAGUGGCUGAAGUAUUGGAGCUUCAGCCUCAACAUCAGUCCUUCCAAUGAGUAUUCAGGAUUGAUUUCCUUUAGGAUUGACUGGUUUAAUCUCCUUGCAGUCCAAAGACUCUUGAGAGUCUACUCCCAACACCACAGUUCAAAAGCAUUAAUUCUUUGGCAGUCAGCCUUCUUUAUUGUAUAACUCUCAUAUCCAUACAUGACUACUAGAAAAUAGUGUAUAUAUGUUAACCCCAAUCUCCUAAUUUGUCCUUCCCCUCAUGUUUCCCCUUUCAUAACCAUAAUUUGAUUUUCAUAUAUUUUGAGUUGUUUUCUGUUGUGUAAAUAAGUUUAUUUUUAUUAAAUUCCACGUGUAAGUAAUGUGAUACUUGUUUUUCUCUGAGU
rnacentral:lncRNA from 1 species